rnacentral:rRNA from 1 species
CAAUAGCGUAUAUUAAAGUUGUUGCAGUUAAAAAGCUCGUAGUUGGAUUUGUGGCGUACGGUGUGUUCCGGGCACUUGUUGUCUGAGUAACCUGCUGUUGCCAUCCUUGGGUGGAACCUGUGUGGCAUUAGGUUGUCGUGCAGGGGAUGCCCAUCAUUUACUGUGAAAAAAUUAGAGUGUUCAAAGCAGGCUUAUGCCGUUGAAUAUAUUAGCAUGGAAUAAUGAGAUAGGACUUUUUUGCUAUUUUGUUGGUUUGUGCAAGAAGGUAAUGAUUAAUAGGGACAGUUGGGGGUAUUCGUAUUCCAUUGUCAGAGGUGAAAUUCUUGGAUUUUUGGAAGACGAACUACUGCGAAAGCAUUUACCAAGGAUGUUUUCAUUAA